UACGAAGGGGGCUAGCGUUGUUCGGAAUUACUGGGCGUAAAGCGCGCGCAGGCGGCUAUCCAAGUCAGUGGUGAAAGCCCGGAGCUCAACUCCGGAACUGCCUUUGAUACUGAGGAUCUUGAGUACGGGAGAGGUGAGUGGAACUGCGAGUGUAGAGGUGAAAUUCGUAGAUAUUCGGAGGAACACCAGUGGCGAAGGCGGCUCACUGGUCCAUUACUGACGCUGAGGUGCGAAAGCGUGGGGAGCAAACAGG
rnacentral:rRNA from 1 species